CGCUGGCGGUUGCUUACACAUGCAAGUCGUACGAAGCUCUUUGGGUUUCCAGAGAGACUGAGUGGCGGACGGGUGAGUAACACGUAAGAAUCUACCUUUUGGAGAGGGACAACCACUGGAAACGGUGGCUAAUACCUCAUAUUGCUGAGAAGUGAAAUGAUGAAAAAUCGCCGAGAGAUGAGCUUGCGUCUGAUUAGCUAGUUGGGGGGGUAAUGGCCUCCCAAGGCGAUGAUCAGUAGCUGGUUUGAGAGGAUGAUCAGCCACACUGGGACUGAGACACGGCCCAGACUCCUACGGGAGGCAGCAGUGAGGAAUUUUCCACAAUGGGCGAAAGCCUGACGGAGCAAUACCGCGUGAAGGACGACGGCCUAUGGGUUGUAAACUUCUUUUCUCAGAAAAGAAUACAUGACGGUAUCUGAGGAAUAAGCAUCGGCUAACUCUGUGCCAGCAGCCGCGGUAAGACAGAGGAUGCAAGCGUUAUCCGGAAUGAUUGGGCGUAAAGCGUCUGUAGGUGGCCCGACAAGUCUUCUGUCAAAGAUCAGGGCUUAACCCUGGAAAGGCAGGAGAAACUAUCAGGCUAGAGAUCGGUAGAGGCAGAGGGAAUUCCCAGUGAAACGGUGAAAUGUGUAGAUAUUGGGAGGAACACCAACGGCGAAAGCACUCUGCUGGGCCGAGACUGACACUGAGAGACGAAAGCGAGGGGAGCAAAUGGGAUUAGAUACCCCAGUAGUCCUCGCCGUAAACGAUGGGAUACUAGGUGUUGGGAUGUUUUCAAAGACUUCAGUACCGUAGCUNACG
rnacentral:rRNA from 1 species